UACGUAGGGGGCGAGCGUUGUCCGGAGUUACUGGGCGUAAAGGGCAUGCAGGCGGUCCGACACGUUUGUGUGACAGCGGGUGGCUUAACUACCCCGGAGGAUACGAAAGACGGUUGGACUUGAGGACUCGAGAGGGACACGGGAAUUCCGGGUGGAGUGGUGAAAUGCGUAGAGAUCCGGAGGAACACCGAAGGCGAAGG
rnacentral:rRNA from 1 species